CUUCCGUUGGCGGGGGCGCGGAGGGGGCCCGGCCGCACUGUAUGGCGCAGAUGGCCGCGAGAGGCGCAGGGCUGUAUGGAGGAGUAGCUGCAGCUGUGUCCUGUGCCACAUCAGAGGAAGGAGAGUGUCCGUGUGUCAUGUGCUCCUGAGUCCACGGAAAGGAGUGUUGUGUCUCAGCACUGCUGUUUCAGUGAGUGUGUUGUGGCUUGUGUCAUACUCCUUGACCGCAUGAAGGUGCUUUGGAGACUAGGCGACAAAGUGGUGUGUACAGCCAGUGGGUCUGCCCAUAAUACAAGAUACAGAAGGAAAAUUUUUCAUUCACCUUUACAGAUCUCCAAAAGGUGGGGACAGGGCCAAUGGAGACAUGUAAUGAAUGUCGAUAACUACAUUUAAUUUCUUUGGCAAAUGCUAAUUUGUUAUGGACCACCAUGCUGAAGAAAAAGCCAGCCCUGUGGCUCUUGUGGCAAUGUAAUUAACUGGGGACCUUCAGCUCAUAGCAACAAAAUUGGAAGCACUGAAAUUCAGGUAAUCUUUUGUGCUAAUGACAUACUUCUAAGAAGCAUCUGCAUAGCUUCAUGCCCAUAGCGCUGGGCAGAUACUCUCAUUACAAUAAAUACUGUCUAGUUCUAAAUGAAACUAGACAUUGAUUCCCAGAACAUUUUAGUGACCUAAUUGCCAUUUUAGAUUCCUUAGGUGCACCAUUUAGCACCUCAAAGCCUUUGCUCAGCUUCUGCAGAAUCUCAGUAUUACCCAGGUUUCCAGCGGUCAUGACUCAUGGGUAAGAUUAAAUAUUUGAUUAUAAUUAAGAAAAGAAGAAAUAAAGGAAGUUUAGAUUCAAUAGGAGGCAAGCUAAAGAAACAGACAAUUACUACAAAUCACUGAAGAAGGGCAGAAAAGAGCAAGGUACAGGGUUGGGUUUUUCUUUUUGCAAGGGCUGUGUAUCAGUUCUUUUGUAAGCAACCAAAUACAUGAAUUGGGCUCCAGGGUUGUUUAAUCAAUAUUUGGAUAAAUAUUAUAUUUCUGAUGCAAUCUGUUUAGCAUUAGGGUUGGAUUAAGAGGAAUUGCCUUAGUUAACUGAACAUGCAAGCAAUGUAAGCUGGCUUUCAUCCUGCACUAAAUAAAGGUUGAAAUGGGCCACAGCGACUUGGAAAGGAUGAUUUUUGGAUGAAAUACUAUGUUUUCAAGCCACUAUCACCAUCAAGAUUUAUCUAAUCUUCUUAUGAAAAUGAACAAGCAUUGUAAUGUUUUUCUUUGUACAUUUAAAUUCUCUAUUGCAUAUGGAGUUUGGCUGAAUGCUUGAAACUCUGCUAGUUCCCUGUUCUCAGACCAGACUUACUCAGGAAAACCAUUGUUUAAACAGCUCCAUUUUUUUAUUUUUUUUUCUAAGCAAUUGCAACAAGAAAACAAGACAGAAACAAGUGGAAACUUUUGAAAAUCUAGAUGUAGAAUACUUUCCUGGAUACUUUCUUUGCUCUUAAUGCUUCUUUCACAAGUGCAAAAGAGAACCCACUGCUGAAGCUAAAAAUAAAAAAUAUACAAACUUAGAUGUUCAUUUUUUUGAUCUAAUGAGAACCAAAGGAACUUGAUAAACCUAGCAAGUAGUAGUUUGAUCUGUCUUUUGCUAUUUUACAUGCUAUUUUUUUUUAAAAGCAAUAAAAAACAGCUUUGACAGAACAUUAUACUUACUGAUGUUCAAGAAUUUGUGUUAGGAACAGUUUUGGGAACCCAUGCUGCAUAGCUGAAGAGAAGUUUCCACUUGAAAUAAGUAGGCCAGAUUUUAGUGCCUCAGCUCUUUAUCAGCGCAUACUGGACAUUAAAAACAAGUGCUAUAGCAUAAAAGGGUCUUUAGCCAUUCAUUUAAUUCUCUUUAGAUUACAGUUUUUAUUGUUUUGAUCUCCAAAAUGCUUAGCAAAUGGAAAGAAACACAGUUGAAAAUACAAUUAUAUUUCUCUUGAACAAAUGUUACAAGAUGCACUUCUGAUCACAUUGUUCAUUAUUAAAUCACC